rnacentral:tRNA from 1 species
GGGGGCGUAGCUCAGAUGGUAGAGCGCUCGCUUAGCAUGCGAGAGGUACCGAGAUGCCCGGCGCCUCCA